GUGUGUGGAGUGGCAAACUGAGAAUUUUGGACAGGAACAACUGAUUUCUCAAUGCAAUGAAGAGAGCUUCCCUUAACACAGGCAGAAUGUGCAGACUCCAUAGGGAAUGUACCACCCUGUGACUUUAGAAUCUUUAGGCCACUUUCCUCAUUGUUGAGAUAUACCAGAGCUGCAAAAAGUAUAUCGUACCAUGAGAAGGUGGAGAAAGUGGAAGAAAGACUGAUGGAAAGAAAAUCUGAACCAGAAACAGUAUGGCUGGCUUGGGGUCUGACUCAGAGGGAAGAAUUUAUAAUUCUUCAUAGGAUGUGCUGAAGCAUGGGAAUUUGGAUUCAAGCAAGGAAAGUCUGAAAUUAGAAUUCUUACACUGAAUAUUUGC